CCUACGGGAGGCAGCAGUGAGGAAUAUUGGUCAAUGGACGAGAGUCUGAACCAGCCAAGUAGCGUGAAGGAUGACUGCCCUAUGGGUUGUAAACUUCUUUUAUAUGGGAAUAAAAUGUUCCACGUGUGGGAUUUUGUAUGUACCAUAUGAAUAAGGAUCGGCUAACUCCGUGCCAGCAGCCGCGGUAAUACGGAGGAUCCGAGCGUUAUCCGGAUUUAUUGGGUUUAAAGGGAGCGUAGGUGGAUUGUUAAGUCAGUUGUGAAAGUUUGUGGCUCAACCGUAAAAUUGCAGUUGAAACUGGCAGUCUUGAGUACAGUAGAGGUGGGCGGAAUUCGUGGUGUAGCGGUGAAAUGCUUAGAUAUCACGAAGAACUCCGAUUGCGAAGGCAGUUCACUGGACUGCAACUGACACUGAGGCUCGAAAGUGUGGGUAUCAAACAGGAGUAGAUACCCCAGUAGUC
rnacentral:rRNA from 1 species